CCCCUCUCAGGAUCGCACCUGAAGAGUUUCCAGUACUGUACAGUCUCGACUACAGGAGGGAGAAUCAAGCAGAGGCCUACCCAUUCCAUUCCUAGCUUGAGCAGUGGCUAGCGGGUGGAAGGCAAUCUGCUACAAGU
rnacentral:snoRNA from 1 species